rnacentral:rRNA from 1 species
CUCUACAGCAAUGCCACCCUGAACGUGCCCAAUCUCGUCUGAUCUCGGAAGCUAAGCAGGGUUGGGCUUGGUUUGCACUUGGAUGGGAGACCACCUAGGAAUACCAGGUACUGUAGGCG